rnacentral:lncRNA from 1 species
CACUUUAAAUAUUUAUUUACAACAAGUUAAAAACACUUUUCUAAAUAGCGUUUUUAUUAAACGCUAAUUUUUUAUAAAAAACGCUUUUUCAAAUAGCGUUUUUUUCUCUGUUCAGAUAUACGGUAUUUAUACAAAAUAAAAACGUAUUUUGAAGGGGCCAAUGAUCCAAAGAGGGAUCAAACUCACGAGCUCCAAUCAAUGAGCCUCAGCAAAUUCUAGAGCUGCUUUUUCAGCCAACGUCUUUGAAAUUGUGUAUGAAGCUCCAAAUGACCUUAGGGGCUGUUUGGACUGGUGGAUUAGAGGGGGGAUAAUUUUUCCCCACGGAUAAUUUUUCCCAUGUCGUUUUGGCUGGCCGGAUAAGGAGGCGGAUUAAUAAAACAACUUAUGCCCCCGGAAAUUUUUCCCCCAGCAGGUGGAUAGAGACGGAUAAUUUUGGGUGGCCUAGACCCAACCUAAAGUUAUCCGGGGGAAUAAGGGGGUGAGGGGAUAAGAAAAAAAUAUAUAAAGAGAAACAAAAUGUUAUAUUUUUAUUUGGAUAUAUAUAUAUAUAGAAAUAAAAUUCUUUUUUAAUAUCUAAAUAUUUUAAUUUUGUUUCUCUUUAUAUUUUUCUUUUUUAUCACCACCCGUAUCACCUAUUCUAAAAAGUAUCCAAACAAAGUUAAAAGUUAUCCCCUUCAAAAGUUAUCCCUAUCUAAAAAUUUAUCUCCCCUUUAAAAUUAUCCCUCUUCCAUAUCCGCCAGCCAACGGCCCGUUAGAGCUCUAACCUAAUCUACAUGUCCAAUCACUCUCAUCAAUUAGGCCUGAACUCUUGUCAUUGUACAUCACAGUGAAUGCACUAGAAGUGUAAACUACUCUCUUCAACGUCUUCGAGUCGAGGUAGGCCCGUAAAAUUCCGAUGGUGCCCUUAAUCGCUCUUUCGUUUGUGACUUGUUUGAUACUUUCUCCUCAAAACCAACCGGGUGAGCGAUGUGGAAGACUCCAGUGCACCCUCGGAUGAUUCCAUCGAAGGUCUCGGGAUCGUUGAGGUCUGCGUUGAAGAUUUCGAGCUUUUCUAGUGCCUUUGGGAGGUUGGCCAGGUUGAUGAUGUCUUUCUUGCCG